GUGGGGGAGCUCCGGAUCCUGGGCUGUGUCCCCCAGCGCCCUGGGCUCCCGGGCCUGCGCGCUGCUGGAAUCGCGCUCCCAGGGCGCGCAGCCCCUC
rnacentral:pre_miRNA from 1 species